CCCACAUCAUGUUGAAACAGCGGUUCCCAAACGAUCAUCGGAGUUAAGCAACGUCGAGCCUGGUCAGUACCUAGAUGGGUGACUUUUUGGGAAUACCAGAUGCUGUAAG